rnacentral:rRNA from 2 species
GGAUUAUUGGGCGUAAGCGCGCGCAGGCGGUUCCUUAAGUCUGAUGUGAAAGCCCCCGCCUUAACCGGGGAGGGUCAUUGGAAACUGGGGAACUUGAGUCCCUAAAAGAAGAGUGGAAUUCCACGUGUAGCGGUGAAAUGCGUAGAGAUGUGGAGGAACACCAGUGGCGAAGGCGACCCUUUAGACUGUAACUGACGCUGAGGCGCGAAAGCGUGGGGAGCAAACAGGAUUAGAUACCCUGGUAGUCCACGCCGUAAACGAUGAGUGCUAAGUGUUAGAGGGUUUCCGCCCUUUAGUGCUGCAGCAAACGCAUUACGCACUCCGCCUGGGUUUUCCGGCCGAAAGGGUGAAACUCAAAGGAUUUGACGGGGGCCCGUUUACGG